rnacentral:tRNA from 1 species
GGAUAGGUGCCCGAGCGGUCGAUGGGACUGGUCCUGAAAACCAGCGAGUCAUUCAUGGCUCCGCGAGUUCGAAUCUCGCCCUAUCCG